UUUGUAUAAUGGGUCAGCGACUUAUAUUCAGUGGCAAGGUUAACCAUCUAGGGGAGCCGUAGGGAAACCGAGUCUUAACUGGGCGUUCAGUCUCUGGAUAUAGACCCGAAACCAGGUGAUCUAGCCAUGGGCAGGUUGAAGGUUGAGUAACAUCAACUGGAGGACCGAACCGACUAAUGUUGAAAAAUUAGCGGAUGACUUGUGGCUAGGGGUGAAAGGCCAAUCAAACCUGGAGAUAGCUGGUUCUCCCCGAAAGCUAUUUAGGUAGCGCCUCGGACGAAUACUACUGGGGGUAGAGCACUGUUAAGGCUAGGGGGUCAUCCCGACUUACCAACCCUUUGCAAACUCCGAAUACCAGUAAGUACUAUCCGGGAGACACACGGCGGGUGCUAACGUCCGUCGUGGAGAGGGAAACAACCCAGACCGCCAGCUAAGGUCCCAAAUUACUACUAAGUGGGAAACGAUGUGGGAAGGCUCAGACAGCCAGGAUGUUGGCUUAGAAGCAGCCAUCAUUUAAAGAAAGCGUAAUAGCUCACUGGUCGAGUCGGCCUGCGCGGAAGAUGUAACGGGGCUAAGUAGUAAACCGAAGCUGCGGCAAUAUACUUUUGUAUAUUGGGUAGGGGAGCGUUCUGUAAGCGGUUGAAGGUGUGUGGUAACGCAUGCUGGACGUAUCAGAAGUGCGAAUGCUGACAUGAGUAACGAUAAAGGGGGUGAAAAACCUCCUCGCCGGAAGACCAAGGGUUCCUGUCCAACGUUAAUCGGGGCAGGGUAAGUCGACCCCUAAGGCGAGGCCGAAAGGCGUAGUCGAUGGGAAACGGGUUAAUAUUCCCGUACUUCUUACAAUUGCGAUGGGGGGACGGAGAAGGCUAGGUGGGCCUGGCGACGGUUGUCCAGGUUCAAGUGCGUAGGCUGAGAGAUUAGGUAAAUCCGGUUUCUCUUAAGGCUGAGACACGACGUCGAGCACCUACGGGUGUGAAGUCAUUGAUGCCAUGCUUCCAGGAAAAGCCUCUAAGCUUCAGAUUGUAAGGAAUCGUACCCCAAACCGACACAGGUGGUCGGGUAGAGAAUACCAAGGCGCUUGAGAGAACUCGGGUGAAGGAACUAGGCAAAAUGGUACCGUAACUUCGGGAGAAGGUAC
rnacentral:rRNA from 1 species